AGAGAGAGAGGGGGGGGGCAGGAGGAAAUGGAAGAAGAAAAAUGCGAGAGAAAUAAAAGGGAGGAGACCGAAAAGAGAGCUGUUCGUAUUAGGUCGGUGAGACAAUGAUCGAGCGAAACUCAACGUCGAUGGUCUUGCGUAUAAAUUCAAUAAAGGAUGGACGAUGCAAAUUUAUCAACAGUAUCCUCGCAUAAAAGUUCCUCACCUUUUUGACCAACGUCACGAUGAUUUCAUAGAAGAUAUAGUGGAUUUAA